rnacentral:rRNA from 1 species
UACGGAGGGUGCAAGCGUUAAUCGGAAUUACUGGGCGUAAAGCGCGCGUAGGCGGUUUGUUAAGCGAGAUGUGAAAUCCCCGGGCUCAACCUGGGAACUGCAUUUCGAACUGGCAGGCUAGAGUGUAGAAGAGGGGUGUGGAAUUUCCGGUGUAGCGGUGAAAUGCGUAGAGAUCGGAAGGAACACCAGUGGCGAAGGCGACACCCUGGUCUAACACUGACGCUGAGGUGCGAAAGCGUGGGUAGCAAACAGG